rnacentral:rRNA from 1 species
CCUACGGGUGGCAGCAGUAGGGAAUCUUCCACAAUGGACGAAAGUCUGAUGGAGCAACGCCGCGUGAGUGAAGAAGGGUUUCGGCUCGUAAAGCUCUGUUGGUGGUGAAGAAAGAUAGAGGUAGUAACUGGCCUUUAUUUGACGGUAAUUACUUAGAAAGUCACGGCUAACUACGUGCCAGCAGCCGCGGUAAUACGGAGGGUGCGAGCGUUAAUCGGAUUGACUGGGUGUAAAGCGAGCGUAGGCGGUAUGUCAAGUCAAGGGUGAAAUCCCCGCGCUCAACGUUGGAACUGCCUUGGAAACUGGCAAACUUGAGGGUGUGAGAGGAUAGUGGAAUUCGAGGUGUAGGAGUGAAAUCCGUAGAUAUCUGGAGGAACAUCAGUGGCGAAGGCGACUAUCGGGCACAUAACUGACGCUGAGGAGCGAAAGCGUGGGUAGCAAACAGGAUUAGAUACCCGUGUAGUC